UACGUAGGGUGCGAGCGUUGUCCGGAAUUACUGGGCGUAAAGAGCUCGUAGGUGGUUUGUCGCGUUGUCCGUGAAAACUCACAACUCAAUUGUGGGCGUGCGGGCGAUACGGGCAGACUGGAGUACUGCAGGGGAGACUGGAAUUCCUGGUGUAGCGGUGGAAUGCGCAGAUAUCAGGAGGAACACCGGUGGCGAAGGCGGCUCACUGGCCCGGAACUGACGCUGAGGUGCGAAAGCGUGGGGAGCAAACAGG
rnacentral:rRNA from 1 species